rnacentral:lncRNA from 1 species
CAGACAGCCAACACUCACUGUACGUUCGAAGGGAAAGAAUCAAUCGAACUCCUACUCCAACUGCAACUCCAACUCCUACUCCACACUCCUACUCCUACUCCUACUCCUACUCCGCAUUAUUGAUUGUAAUGAGCCACCGAAGGCGUCAACUUCAGCGUCCAUUUCGCUGCGUGAUGAUGAAAGAAAAUCGACAGCCCCAGCCUGCCUGCCAAGUGAAUGCAAAAAACAAUUAAAAUCCCGUACCUGGGGCUUUUGAUGAGUCGUCGAAAAAGGCAUCCACAGUGGCUUUCACUCGGAUUGCUUUUGUGGCAGCUUCUUCGACUUUUGAAUGGAAAAGAUACGAGUCGGCGUUUGCCAUUAGAACUUUGAAAAUUAACAAUUGGGUUAAACGUUUUGUUGACUUUUUACUAUAGCUAAAUGAAAGACUUAUUUAUGAUGUAUUUUGUAUGUGCAUUCAGUUUGUUUUAGGUGCCAAAAAGAGAGCCAGAGCCUUCAAUCGGGAAGCGCUUUGAAGCGCAUUUGAUGGAACACAAAAAGGUAAGUUUUUGCGUGUUUCAAAAUACGUUAAAAGCAGCAACAAAUUGUAGUUAAAGUAACAUAAAUAAAGGCUCAAGUGGGGCUACAACUUUAGGCCAAAUUUCGUGUGCAAAAGUGAAAAGAAAAUAACUCCAGAAAGUUCCUCAAAAUGCAACCAAUAAAAUCUCAACUUCCUGCUUCCUGCCUUGUUUAUGUGUUUAUGGCAACAUAUUAAGUGAACUAUGUUUAAUUUCUGAG